rnacentral:rRNA from 1 species
GAUGAACGCUGGCGGCGUGCCUAAUACAUGCAAGUCGAGCGAACGGACGAGAAGCUUGCUUUUCUGAUGUUAGCGGCGGACGGGUGAGUAACACGUGGAUAACCUACCUAUAAGACUGGGAUAACUUCGGGAAACCGGAGCUAAUACCGGAUAAUAUUUUGAACCGCAUGGUUCAAAAGUGAAAGACGGUCUUGCUGUCACUUAUAGAUGGAUCCGCGCUGCAUUAGCUAGUUGGUAAGGUAACGGCUUACCAAGGCAACGAUGCAUAGCCGACCUGAGAGGGUGAUCGGCCACACUGGAACUGAGACACGGUCCAGACUCCUACGGGAGGCAGCAAUAGGGAAUCUUCCGCCAUGGGCGAAAGCCUGACGGCGCAACGCCGCGUGAGUGAUGAAGGUCUUCGGAUCGUAAAACUCUGUUAUUAGGGAAGAACAUAUGUGUAAGUAACUGUGCACAUCUUGACGGUACCUAAUCAGAAAGCCACGGCUAACUACGUG